CUCUGAGUGGUGGAAACAGUUAACAUGUUCAGCUGCUAACUGAAAGGUUGGAGGUUCAAGUUCACUUAGAGG
rnacentral:tRNA from 1 species